CAGUAGCCGCGGGAAUACGGAGGGAGCUAGCGUUGUUCGGAAUUACUGGGCGUAAAGCGCGCGUAAGCGGUUACUCAAGUCAGAGGUGAAAGCCCGGGGCUCAACCCCGGAACUGCCUUUGAAACUAGGUGACUAGAAUCUUGGAGAGGUCGGUGGAAUUCCGAGUGUAGAGGUGAAAUUCGUAGAUAUUCGGAAGAACACCAGUGGCGAAGGCGACUGACUGGACAAGUAUUGACGCUGAGGUGCGAAAGCGUGGGGAGCAAACAGGAUUAGAUACCCCAGUAGUCCCUGUCUCUUAUAA
rnacentral:rRNA from 1 species